UACGUAGGGGGUAAGCGUUGUCCGGAAUCAUUGGGCGUAAAGAGUGUGUAGGCGGCCCGGUAAGUCCGCUGUGAAAGUCCAGGGCUCAACCCUGGGAUGCCGGUGGAUACUGUCGGGCUCGAGUCCGGAAGAGGAGUGUGGAAUUCCUGGUGUAGCGGUGGAAUGCGUAGAGAUCGGGAAGAACACCAAUGGCGAAGGCAGUCGGCUGGGCCGUUGCUGACACUGAGGCGCGACAGCGUGGGGAGCAAACAGG
rnacentral:rRNA from 1 species